AGAUGGUCUGCUAUUGCUGCCCAGUUACCGGGGAGAACCGAUAAUGAGAUAAAGAACCACUGGCACACCAAACUCAAGAAACGCAAGCAAAAGGACACUGUGAAACCAGACUCCAGUGACCUCUCCCAGCGUAGAAAGAGACAAAAGAAAGAUACAAAACCAAAGAUUGACCCCAUAAGUCCUGGAACUACUCCUCAAAUUAUAGAAAGCAUAAGCUCCUCAUUGUCCCCCAAACCAUCUACAAGUGAUUUCUCAUCAUCGACCACCGCAAAUAACAUAGCUGUUACCAGUAGCUGCAGUGACU
rnacentral:misc_RNA from 1 species